CGUGUAGGCGGUGCGGUAAGUGGGGCGUGAAAUCCCCGGGCUUAACCCGGGGGGGCCGUUCCGAACUGCCGUGCUAGGGUGCGGGAGAGGGCAGUGGAAUUCCCGGUGUAGCGGUGAAAUGCGCAGAUAUCGGGAGGAACACCUGCGGCGAAGGCGGCUGCCUGGACCGUAACCGACGCUGAGGCGCGAAAGCUAGGGGAGCAAACAGGAUUAGAUACCCUGGUAGUCCUAGCCCUAAACGUUGAACACUGGGUGUAGCCCCUCACGGGGCUGUGCCGAAGCUAACGCAUUAAGUGUUCCGCCUGGGGAGUACGGUCGCAAGGCUGAA
rnacentral:rRNA from 1 species